CCUACGGGUGGCAGCAGUGGGGAAUAUUGCACAAUGGGGGAAACCCUGAUGCAGCGACGCCGCGUGAGUGAAGAAGUAUUUCGGUAUGUAAAGCUCUAUCAGCAGGGAAGAAAUAGCGACCUUUGGGUCGCCAGACGGUACCUGAUUAAGAAGCCCCGGCUAACUACGUGCCAGCAGCCGCGGUAAUACGUAGGGGGCAAGCGUUAUCCGGAUUUACUGGGUGUAAAGGGGGCGCAGACGGCGAUGCAAGCCAGGAGUGAAAGCCCGGGGCCCAACCCCGGGACUGCUCUUGGAACUGCGUGGCUUGAGUGCAGGAGGGGCAGGCGGAAUUCCUGGUGUAGCGGUGAAAUGCGUAGAUAGCAGGAGGAACACCGGUGGCGAAGGCGGCCUGCUGGACUGCAACUGACGUUGAGGCCCGAAAGCGUGGGGAGCAAACAGGAUUAGAUACCCCUGUAGUC
rnacentral:rRNA from 1 species